GACGGAGGAUGCAAGUGUUAUCCGGAAUCACUGGGCGUAAAGCGUCUGUAGGUGGUUUAAUAAGUCAACUGUUAAAUCUUGAGGCUCAACCUCAAAAUCGCAGUCGAAACUAUUAGGCUAGAGUAUAGUAGGGGUAAAGGGAAUUUCCAGUGGAGCGGUGAAAUGCGUAGAGAUUGGAAAGAACACCGAUGGCGAAGGCGCUCUACCGGACCACAACUGACACUCAGGGACGAAAGCUAGGGGAGCGAAUGGG
rnacentral:rRNA from 1 species